rnacentral:ncRNA from 1 species
CAUUUUUAAGCACCUCACCGAGCCUAGUCUUAAUUCCGGGAGGAAUGGGGUGAGAAUCCCCAACUGACGGCGCAACCGUAAUAGAGAACAUUAUCUCUUAAGUCGGAUCUUCCCAUGAAUGGAUCGCCCGU